UACGUAGGGACCGAGCGUUGUCCGGAUUCAUUGGGCGUAAAGAGCUCGUAGGCGGCUAUUCAAGUCGAACGUGAAAUCUCGGAGCUUAACUCCGAAACUGCAUUCGAUACUGCCGUGCUUGAGGACUGGAGAGGAGACUGGAAUUUACGGUGUAGCGGUGAAAUGCGUAGAUAUCGUAAGGAAGACCAGUGGCGAAGGCGGGUCUCUGGACAGUUCCUGACGCUGAGGCACGAAGGUCAGGGGAGCAAACGGG
rnacentral:rRNA from 1 species